AGUUCUACAGUCUGACGCUGUAAUACUACUUAGCAUUAAGCAGGUGUUUUGGUGUUCUGCAGAGCAUGAACUAAAUAUGGUUGUUUAGAAACCCAUAAACUUUUGUAGUGU